rnacentral:lncRNA from 1 species
AUAAAUAAAUAGGUAGGAGGUUGUCAGUGGAUGGGGGUUUUUCAAGGCUUUUUUCCCGAGGAAAACACCUAAUCAGACCCUCAGAGGCAGAAAUAAAAAUGUACAACUCUUUGGAGGUCUGUCCAUGAUUUUACAGCUAAGAUAUGUGGCCUAGCCACAUGCUCAGUCAACCUGCUGUCAGCUACCUGGAGGUAUCUGGUUGCUGAGGAGAUCAGACAUUCCCAAGCAGCUUACUUAGAAGGAAGGAAGAAUGUCAUCCUGGACCCCUUGACUAUCCCCAGCUAUCCCUGACCCUGACUCUGCACUUCUUGUCUGGGGAGCUUCGAG